UUUUAAUAAAAAUAUGCAUGUUUUGUCAGUGAAUUUUUUUUUACCGUUUCAGAAUAUAUUUGGAGAAAACUGUUGCUCCAUGAAUAUAUAUCUGUCAAGGCGUCAUUAUGUCCUGUGUCAUGCUUCCCUGAGCUGGCCAGAGCACUCAUGUCCCAUAUUUGAAACUCAGCUUCAGACUUUACGGUUCAAGAAGGUGCGGGGAAUCCAUGAUGUUUCAACACCCAUCAUUUUGCAGAUAAAGAACAUGCUUUUGCAUGGAGUUUGGCAAGAUUCGUUCCAAGUCUUCUCUAGCUGGUGCGGAAGUUGCGGAGAGCAGCGCCCUCCAUCCGCUAGGAUCAGCGUGAGAGGCUGAGUGUUCUCAAGAAGGUGUCUGGCUUUCGCAGGGCUCACUGUGAGCCUGUGCACAGGACUGACGAGGACAGUUCACAGUUUUGCUCUGAAGAUGGAGUCUUGGAAGAAUGCGGUGCCCCAUGUGAUCCCAGGAAGGGGACAGACCUGGUGUCCACUGUAGAGUUAUGUUGUGGGAGUGGUCGUGAUCUGCAGCCUCUGCUUCAUGAGAUGUCUGUCCUUUAUUGAGUUCUGGGUGUGCUUUUUGUGACUUUUUCCUAAAGGGUGGGAUUUCCAAGGAGUGGGAUUUUUUUGGCUUCACUGUAAUUGCUGGUCCACUGGGAGUGAACAAGUCCUGUUCUGCUGCUGAGAAGUUGUGUCCCUAGCGGCUGGAGUGUGUAUUACAAGCUUCGAGGUCAAUGGUGAGGUGGUUACAGCGGUCAGCAGGCUAUUGUUAUUGAUGAUUUUUAUGGGUGAAUUCCAUAGGAUGAGAUGUUAGAUCUUAUGGUUAGAGAUCCUCCUUAAGUGCCCAUAAAGGGAGCUUUUUCUGAGUUUCAUAUUUGAUAUCUUUUUAUUACUACUAAUAGUCCUCCUUGUACUUGGUAUUCCAAUGAGCAGGGCAUUUCAACAUUGCCUGUAUUUUACUCUUGUGUUGAUGAGGAUUUGAGAAAGGAACAUGUCAGUGCUUCCACAAAUGUACACUGGAACAACCAAAUAAUAAAAUUUUAUUUUUGGCACAAAAUAGGAAAUAUCCUGCUGUGAUUCCUAGUUUAAAGCAGGGGAGGGGCCCUCUUUCCGUACUGGCAAUGAGUGCCAUAGGCCUUCCUAGGAAACAUUAUCAGAUUCUGUUGGAAACUUGGUCUCUGUUAUUGUGGAAGAAUCAAGAGUCGACCAAUU
rnacentral:lncRNA from 1 species